rnacentral:pre_miRNA from 1 species
UGUGUACUCUCUCUGUCCAACAAAAGAUGUCUUAAGUUUGUUAAAAUUUGAAUGUAUAUACGGACAUGACUUAGUAUAUAGUGCAUUCAAAUUUAGUCAAAGUUGACACAUCCUUUGUUGGACGGAGGAAUAUAUA